rnacentral:miRNA from 1 species
AUUUCAGGUUGGUGCAAAAGUAAUUGUGGUUUUUGCCAUUAAAAGUGAUGGCAAAAACUACUAUUACGUUUGCACCAAUCUAAUA